rnacentral:lncRNA from 1 species
GUUCAAGUAUAAAAAAGGUUUAGAUUUAGGAUUAGGAAUCUCCGCACAACAGAAAGGCCGAUGAGACAGGAUGUGGAGGUCUCAAGCACUCAGUAAAACACCUCCUCAUGCCUCCAGAGCCAAUAACAAGAUUUUUUUUGGUCAAAAGUAAGAUUCAUCAUUAGAAGCAGAAUGUCUAAGCGUCUGUGAUCCAGUCUUUGCAGGUUGAGUCACGUCACUGCUCCCUUUCUCUCUUUGCACCUGGAAACUUUUCCCCCUCGUCUGUGGUUUCCUCCUCUCUUGCUCUUUCUCCUUCCCCAACUCCUUCUCUCUCUUCUUUCUCAACCUCUCUUCCUCUUUCUCCUUUCUCUCUCGGACCCUCCGCCUCCUCCUCCUUUCCCUGGAGCUCAGUUUUUCCUCCGCCUCUUCCUCAACCAGUUUCCCCGUCCCUGUUCCAUCACUGAAGUCCUGAAUCAGGAUUUUGGGGACUUGCAUUUUGGGUGUCCCUUUUGCCUUUUUGGGCUGCUCUCCUCUCAGUCUGCGGAAGAGACCAAAACGUUUAGGGGGGUCGGGCGGCGGCAGCUGCUCAUGCUGCACUGCUGUCCUCUCAGUCACUUUUGCAGACAGUGACGAGGUGACUUCUGAAGUCACAUCAGGAGGACUUUGGGUUGGGUUUACAGCUCCAGGAUUGGACUGUGAUUCACUAUGUUUAACUUCUGGGUGAUUGGGAGUAGAUUGUGAUUUGCCAGUUUUCUCUGGCACGAUGAAGAGAUCUUCAGAGAGUCUACGUGCUAACCUUGACCCACGGGAGUUGGGUAACUUGCGAACGCAGAAAUCUCCAGAAGACCGGCUGCUGCGAUGCCCGGAGGCUUGUGUCAGGCUGCUGUUAUUCGGCUCAGUCUGGUCUUCCACAAGGUGGGAAUCUUUGUCUAGGACUUGUGGGUUACUGUCAGUAUUUGAAGAGUCUGUUGCUUUAGUAGUAAUGAAGACGUCGUCUUCUACUACAGGGUUUUCUUGAACAUUUUCUGUGCUUUCUUCCUCCUCCACAGCACCCAUAGUGACCUGGCUUGUUGGUUGUUCAGGUGCAGGUUCUUCGGAGGUACCCGUUUCUACUGAACACGUCUUCCCAUCAGGCUCGGCCGUGAGAGUCACCGCUUCCGCCUGUGUGCAAGGUGAUGCUAUCAAGUCAGUAUUCUCCGUUUCUGUUGGCGUUUCCUCUGCUUGUGUUUGGUCAGUGUCAACCUGUGCAUCUGAGUGUGCAGUCAAACUUCUUCCUUCUUCCUCCUGCGUAGGUUCAGAUGCUACUGCAUCACACUGUUUCUCAAAUAAUUCACGUGACUCCCUCACUAUGUCGUUUGCUACUGGUAUUUCUGCUUCAGUCUCUGUAUCAGCUACUAAGCCAGUGCCGUCUUUUGGUUGGAUGCGUUCAGGAGUCGUCUUCCUCUUGGACCUCCUGCCUGAUGCCCCUCAGCCUCUCCAGAGUCUCCAUUUGUCCCUGACACUGCUUCCUCUGCUCGGCUCUGCCCAGCACCCGACGCACCAGCACCACCGCC